ACCUCGGAUCAGGUAGGAAUA
rnacentral:rRNA from 1 species